GACGAACGCUGGCGGCGUGCCUAAUACAUGCAAGUCGAGCGAAGUUUUUCUGGUGCUUGCACCGGAAAAACUUAGCGGCGAACGGGUGAGUAACACGUAAAGAACCUGCCUCAUAGACUGGGACAACUAUUGGAAACGAUAGCUAAUACCGGAUAACAGCAUUAACUGCAUGGUUGAUGUUUAAAAGUUGGUUUUGCUAACACUAUGAGAUGGCUUUGCGGUGCAUUAGCUAGUUGGUGGGGUAAAGGCCUACCAAGGCGACGAUGCAUAGCCGACCUGAGAGGGUGAUCGGCCACACUGGGACUGAGACACGGCCCAGACUCCUACGGGAGGCAGCAGUAGGGAAUCUUCCGCAAUGGGCGAAAGCCUGACGGAGCUACGCCGCGUGAGUGAAGAAGGAUUUCGGUUCGUAAAGCUCUGUUGUUAGGGAAGAAUGAUUGUGUAGUAACUAUACACAGUAGAGACGGUACCUAACCAGAAAGCCACGGCUAACUACGUGCCAGCAGCCGCGGUAAUACGUAGGUGGCAAGCGUUGUCCGGAAUUAUUGGGCGUAAAGCGCGCGCAGGUGGUUUAAUAAGUCUGAUGUGAAAGCCCACGGCUCAACCGUGGAGGGUCAUUGGAAACUGUUAAACUUGAGUGCAGGAGAGAAAAGUGGAAUUCCUAGUGUAGCGGUGAAAUGCGUAGAGAUUAGGAGGAACACCAGUGGCGAAGGCGGCUUUUUGGCCUGUAACUGACACUGAGGCGCGAAAGCGUGGGGAGCAAACAGG
rnacentral:rRNA from 1 species